GCGCCUGUAGCUCAGUGGAUAGAGCGUCUGUUUCCUAAGCAGAAGGCCACAGGUUCGACCCCUGUCUGGCGCGUGGUAUAUUUCUUCCUCUCAGCUGGAGGUACUCCCAAUCAAAAGUAUUUUCUUAAUCUCU